rnacentral:misc_RNA from 1 species
GAUGAAGAACGCAGCGAAAUGCGAUACGUAAUGUGAAUUGCAAAUUCAGUGAAUCAUCGAGUCUUUGAACGCACAUUGCGCCCCCUGGUAUUCCGGGGGGCAUGCAUGUCCGAGCGUCAUUGCUGCCCUCAAGCACGGCUUGUGUGUUGGGCCCCGUCCUCCGAUCCCGGGGGACGGGCCCGAAAGGCAGCGGCGGCACCGCGUCCGGUCCUCGAGCGUAUGGGGCUUUGUCACCCGCUCUGUAGGCCCGGCCGGCGCUUGCCGAUCAACCCAAAUUUUUAUCCAGGUUGACCUCGGAUCAGGUAGGGAUACCCGCUGAACUUAAGCAUAUCAAUAAGCGGAGGA